AUUCUGCUCAUCAGGACGUAGC
rnacentral:miRNA from 1 species